GCGGCGGGGCCGGGGGCAGCCUGGUCGGUGGCCCUCCGCGCACCGAGGUCGGCGGGGCCGAGUGUACCCCUCACCCGCACCCCACCCCAUGGGGAGGGGGCCCCCGGCGGAGCCCCGGGCCUGGGAGCGACAGCCUGGAGCCGGCCCACGUUGGGACAGCAGCUGUCGCGUCCCAGCCCUGACGGAGCUCCUAGGCGGGGUGCUUUCUGCGCUGGAUCCACGCCAGGCUGCGGUGGGCAUCCUGACUCGGAAACCGUGAAGCGGGUCCUCCAGUGGCACUGAGUCCGGUUUGCUAAAAAAGAGCUGGAGGUGGAUGCCCAGGGAAGCUUUGAAAAAUGUUGAAAAUGGUAACACUUCCAUCAGUCUGGGUUCUUGAAUGACUUUGUGGAGCAUAACUCCCUUCCUCUUUGUCCACCCGGCCACCCUCAUUGGACUGCAACACAAGAAAGAAAUCAACCACUAUUUUGAGGGGAAGACAGACCAUAAACAGUGAGCACCCCCAGUAAACAAGAUUUCCCAACAGUCACAGUGCUAAGAAGACAAUAAACAGCAUGACGUGGUAGAGAAUGACUGUUUUAGGCCAGGUGUCAAGAAGGAGUUGUCUGAACAGGUGUUAUUGGAGCUGGAAGAAGAGAAAAGGGCUGACGACUGAACCCCCAGAAGACUGAUGCUUACGGGCCAAAGUGAAAAAGAAUCCUUUAAGGAGGACUGGGAAGGACAGCCAGAAAGGUGGGAGAAAAUCCACAGGCAAAGGUAGCAGAAGCCACCAGAAGAGAGCUUUUCAAGAAUAGAAUGGUCAGGAGACUGACAUGGGCUGCUGAAUGUACAGUAUGGAGGUUUCCAGGAUGCUAGGAAAGUCCCUGAGGCUGGAGAGGAGGAGGACUGAAGUGCAGAUUGCCCUGCGGUGAGGAUGGAAUUAGAAGUGAAGACAUACACACAAGGAGAACAGGCCCUUCUUUCAAGAUAUUGGCUUCCCAAGUGGGAGCAAGUGGGAGCUGUACUGAGGGAAGGUGAAAUUUUUUUGGCUGUGAAAAAUAACAAGCAUAUUUGAUGGAAAGAAGUCCUUGAAGAGAGAGCAGGUGGAAACCUAUGAGAGAAAACAACUUAACGUAAAAAGGAAUUCAGCAUUCGCUUUGUAUGACAAGUGCUUUAUAUACAUGUUCUUCUUUGAUUCACGCAUUACUAUUAUCAUCCCCAGUUUAUAGAAGAAUUUGAGUCUCAGAGAGGGUGAGUAAAUUCUUCAAAUUACACAGUCGGUAAUGGGUGCUGUGGAACUAAAUUCGUUGUCUGAUUCCAGACCUUCUUUAUUGUUUUUGUUGUUGUUGUUGUUUAACUGUUUUUAAAAAUUUCACAGGAAACUGAAGGGUACACGACAUAGAAUUCCACUAAACCAUUGACAUUUAGAUCCUCCCAGGCUUUUACUGAGUGUUUACACAUGCAGUAUAAUUUAAAAACAUUGGGAUCACACUAUUACCCUCCAAUGGCUUCCCAUAAUUUAAAAUCCAAAGUCCUUAGGACUAUGGAGUCAGAGUUUAUGGGGGAACUGGAUAGUCACACAGCCUCAAAAUAUCUCUCCACAAUUUUUUUUUGUUAAUUAUAGACAGGAAGAGGUACUUACACAGGUGAGACCAUCGUAAAUGAAUGAUCAAAAACUUUCAUCACUAAUGAGAAAAAGUGAUAUUAUGCGCCUCCUGAUGUGACACACAGAGAAGGGCACAUCGUUUUUGUAGGAUCACUGCCAAAAACACAUAUCCGGCAUUUAAUCAUGAGGGAAAUUUUUACACAAGGCCAAACUGAGGGGCAGCUUACAAACCAACUUGCUUUUACUCUUAAAAAAAAUUAAUGUCCUGAAAAACAAACAAACAAAAAGACUGAGGGACAGUUCCAGCUUAAAGGAGACCAAAGAUACAGGAUAUUCAAUGCACUGAGUGACCCUGGAUUGGAUUCUGGGUCAGAAAAAAAUAAGGUGCUCAAAAGGACAUUCUUGGGGUGGUUGGUGAAAAUUGAAGUUAUUAGACAGUAGUAUUUUAUCAGUGUUCAAUUUCCUUAUUGAUAAUUGUGCCCUGGUUAUGUAAGGGCAUCCUUGUUUUUAGGAGUUUCAUACAGAAGUACUUAGGGGUUAGGGGUUAUAAUGUCUGCAUUUACUCUCAGAUAGGGUGAGGAAAAAAAAAUAUUUGGUGAAAAAUGAUUGAGUAAGAGAUGAAGCAAAUGUGACAAAUGCUAACAAUUGAUCAAGAUUCUAGAUGAAGAGGAAAUUGGUGUCCUUUGUACAAUUCUUACAACUUUUCUGUUAAUGUUUUUUCAACAUAAAAAGUUAAGAUAAUACCCCAUCAACACUCUCCUCCCCUAAAUCCAAAGUCUUUAUGGAAGGUCCUCCAACAUCGGACCCCAGCUCUCUCUCUGCCUCUGGCUUUACCAUUCUCCCUUUACCAAGUUAGGGAGGUGAUAGCUCACUGUUGAUUCAAUUUGCAUUUUCCUGAUUGCUACAGCGAUUCACUGUCACUUCAUAUGAUAUUGGACCUUUGAUUUCCUCUAUAUCUUUUGCCUAUUUUCAAUCAAACUCCACGCC